AACGAACGCUGGCGGCAGGCUUAACACAUGCAAGUCGAACGAGAUCUUCGGAUCUAGUGGCAGACGGGUGAGGAACACGUGGGAACAUCCCUUUCAGUUCGGAAUAACGUUGGGAAACUAACGCUAAUACCGGAUACGUCCUUCGGGAGAAAGAUUUAUCGCUGAAAGAUCGGCCCGCGUCUGAUUAGCUAGUUGGUGAGGUAACGGCUCACCAAGGCUACGAUCAGUAGCUGAUCUGAGAGGAUGAUCAGCCACAUUGGGACUGAGACACGGCACAAACUCCUACGGGAGGCAGCAGUGGGGAAUAUUGGACAAUGGGCGCAAGCCUGAUCCAGCCAUGCCGCGUGAGUGAUGACGGCCUUCGGGUUGUAAAGCUCUUUUGUCCGGGAAGAUAAUGACUGUACCGGAAGAAUAAGCCCCGGCAAACUUCGUGCCAGCCGCCGCGGUAA
rnacentral:rRNA from 1 species